GAUGAACGCUGGCGGCGUGCCUAAUACAUGCCAGUCGAGCGAACAGAUGAGGAGCUUGCUCCUCUGACGUUAGCGGCGGACGGGUGAGUAACACGUGGAUAACCUACCUAUAAGACUGGGAUAACUUCGGGAAACCGGAGCUAAUACCGGAUAAUAUAUUGAACCGCAUGGUUCAAUAGUGAAAGACGGUUUUGCUGUCACUUAUAGAUGGAUCCGCGCCGCAUUAGCUAGUUGGUAAGGUAACGGCUUACCAAGGCAACGAUGCGUAGCCGACCUGAGAGGGGGAUCGGCCACACUGGAACUGAGACACGGUCCAGACUCCUACGGGAGGCAGCAGUAGGGAAUCUUCCGCAAUGGGCGAAAGCCUGACGGAGCAACGCCGCGUGAGUGAUGAAGGUCUUCGGAUCGUAAAACUCUGUUAUUAGGGAAGAACAAAUGUGUAAGUAACUAUGCACGUCUUGACGGUACCUAAUCAGAAAGCCACGGCUAACUACGUG
rnacentral:rRNA from 1 species